CCUACGGGAGGCAGCAGUGGGGAAUAUUGCACAAUGGGGGAAACCCUGAUGCAGCGACGCCGCGUGAGCGAUGAAGUAUUUCGGUAUGUAAAGCUCUAUCAGCAGGGAAGAAAAUGACGGUACCUGACUAAGAAGCACCGGCUAACUACGUGACAGCAGCCGCGGUACUACGUAGGGGGCCAGCGUUAUCCGGAUUUACUGGGUGUAAAGGGGGCGUAGGCGGCGGUGCAAGCCAGAUGUGAAAGUCCGGGGCGCAACCCCCGGACUGCAUUUGGAACUGUGCUGCUAGAGUGUCGGAGAGGCAGGCGGAAUGCGUGGUGUAGCGGUGAAAUGCAUAGAUAUUAGGAGGAACACCAGUGGCGAAGGCGGCCUGCUGGACGAUGACUGACGUUGAGGCUCGAAAGCGUGGGGAGCAAACAGGAUUAGAUACCCUGGUAGUC
rnacentral:rRNA from 1 species